UGCUUACACAUGCAAGUCGAACGGAAACGAUACUAGCUUGCUAGUAGGCGUCGAGUGGCGGACGGGUGAGUAACGCGUAGGAAUCUGCCUGAUAGUGGGGGAUAGCCCGAAGAAAUUCGGAUUAAUACCGCAUAAUCUAUUCGUAGUAAAGUGGGGGACUUUCGAGCCUCACGCUAUCAGAUGAGCCUGCGUAAGAUUAGCUUGUUGGUAGGGUAAAAGCCUACCAAGGCGACGAUCUUUAGCUGGUCUGAGAGGAUGAUCAGCCACAUCGGGACUGAGACACGGCCCGAACUCCUACGGGAGGCAGCAGUGGGGAAUAUUGGACAAUGGGGGCAACCCUGAUCCAGCAAUACCGCGUGUGUGAAGAAGGCCUGAGGGUUGUAAAGCACUUUCAAUUGUGAAGAAAAGUUAACGGUUAAUAACCGUUAGCCUUGACGUUAACUUUAGAAGAAGCACCGGCUAACUCCGUGCCAGCAGCCGCGGUAAUACGGAGGGUGCAAGCGUUAAUCGGAAUUACUGGGCGUAAAGCGUGCGUAGGCGGUUUAUUAAGUCAGAUGUGAAAGCCCCGGGCUUAACCUGGGAACUGCAUUUGAAACUGGUCAACUAGAGUAUGGUAGAGGAAAGUGGAAUUUCUGGUGUAGCGGUGAAAUGCGUAGAUAUCAGAAGGAACAUCAAUGGCGAAGGCAGCUUUCUGGACCAAUACUGACGCUGAGGUACGAAAGCGUGGGUAGCAAACAGGAUUAGAUACCCUGGUAGUCCACGCCGUAAACGAUGAUAACUAGCCGUUGGGGGGAUUUACCCUUUAGUGGCGAAGCUAACGCGUUAAGUUAUCCGCCUGGGGAGUACGGCCGCAAGGUUAAAACUCAAAGGAAUUGACGGGGACCCGCACAAGCGGUGGAGCAUGUGGUUUAAUUCGAUGCAACGCGAAGAACCUUACCUGGUCUUGACAUCCUGCGAACUUUCUAGAAAUAGAUUGGUGCCUUC
rnacentral:rRNA from 1 species